GCUUUCGUAGCGACGUGAAAAAUAAUUAAAAAAACACCCGUAUCCGUACCUUUUAGGAACGCUAUUUUCAGAGGAAUUAUUGCAACGGAGCCGAUGUUGUUUCGCUCAGCUUCUGAAAGUUGCACACUUUCGAAUCACCAUGCGGAAAUUAUCGGUUCUUUGAGCAACGUUUUGCAUGUUCAAAUGCUGUGCAAAUAAAUCAAUUCAGUAGGCUACAUAUAGGCUGCAAUUUAUCAUGCAGU
rnacentral:lncRNA from 1 species